GAUGAACGCUGGCGGCGUGCUUAACACAUGCAAGUCGAACGAGAAGUGAAGAAGGAAACCUUCGGGCGGAAGGCUUUAUUUCGAGUGGCGGACGGGUGAGUAACGCGUGGGUAACCUGCCUCAUACAGGGGGAUAACAGUUGGAAACGACUGUUAAUACCGCAUAAGACCACAGCACCGCAUGGUGCGGGGGUAAAAACUCCGGUGGUAUGAGAUGGACCCGCGUUCGAUUAGCCAGUUGGCGGGGUAACGGCCCACCAAAGCGACGAUCGAUAGCCGAUCUGAGAGGAUGACCGGCCACAUUGGGACUGAGACACGGCCCAAACUCCUACGGGAGGCAGCAGUGGGGAAUAUUGCACAAUGGGGGAAACCCUGAUGCAGCGACGCCGCGUGAGUGAAGAAGUAUUUCGGUAUGUAAAGCUCUAUCAGCAGGGAAGAAAAUGACGGUACCUGAGUAAGAAGCCCCGGCUAACUACGU
rnacentral:rRNA from 1 species